rnacentral:rRNA from 1 species
AGCGAACGCUGGCGGCAGGCCUAACACAUGCAAGUCGAACGAAGUCUUCGGACUUAGUGGCGGACGGGUGAGUAACACGUGGGAACGUACCUUUUGGUUCGGAACAACUCAGGGAAACUUGAGCUAAUACCGGAUGAGCCCUUAGGGGGAAAGAUUUAUCGCCGAAAGAGCGGCCCGCGUUAGAUUAGCUAGUUGGUGAGGUAAAGGCUCACCAAGGCUACGAUCUAUAGCUGGUCUGAGAGGAUGAUCAGCCACACUGGGACUGAGACACGGCCCAGACUCCUACGGGAGGCAGCAGUGGGGAAUCUUGCGCAAUGGGCGAAAGCCUGACGCAGCCAUGCCGCGUGAAUGAUGAAGGUCUUAGGAUUGUAAAGUUCUUUUACCAGGGACGAUAAUGACGGUACCUGGAGAAGAAGCCCCGGCUAACUUCGUGCCAGCCGCCGCCGUAAUAC